rnacentral:rRNA from 1 species
CGGGGUGCACCAGGCGCGAAAACUUUACAAUGCCGGCAACGGCGAUAAGGGAACCUCGAGUGCCAGGUUACAAAUCUGGCUGUCGUGAUGCCUAAAAAGCAUUGCAUAGCAAGGGCCGGGCAAGACCGGUGCCAGCCGCCGCGGUAACACCGGCGGCUCGAGUGGUAACCGUUAUUAUUGGGUCUAAAGGGUCUGUAGCCGGCCGGGUAAGUCUCUUGGGAAAUCUGGCAGCUUAACUGUCAGGCUUUCAGGAGAUACUGCCUGGCUCGAGGCCGGGAGAGGUGAGAGGUACUUCAGGGGUAGGGGUGAAAUCUUGUAAUCCUUGAAGGACCACCAGUGGCGAAGGCGUCUCACCAGAACGGACCUGACGGCAAGGGACGAAAGCUAGGGGCACGAACCGGAUUAGAUACCCGGGUAGUCCUAGCCGUAAACGAUACUCGCUAGGUGUCGGCCACGGUGCGACCGUGGUCGGUGCCGUAGGGAAGCCGUGAAGCGAGCCACCUGGGAAGUACGGCCGCAAAGCGGAAACUUAAAGGAAUUGGCGGGGGAGCAC